rnacentral:rRNA from 1 species
UUAAGCCACAUUAGUGGUGCGUUUAUUUGACUAAACCGUUACUCUGGUUGACUCAAAAUAUCCUUGCUGAUUUUAUAACUAAAACAUGCCGUAUGUGUAUCUGGUUUAUCAACUUUCGAUGGUAGGGUAUUGGCCUACCAUGGUUGUGACGGAUAACGGAGAAUUAGGGUUCGACUCCGGAGAGGGAGCCUGAGAAACGGCUACCACAUCCAAGGAAGGCAGCAGGCGCGAAAAUUACCCAAUUUUAGUUAAAAGAGGUAGUGACGAAAAAUGACAACCAAGUAUUAUUUUUAAUAUUUGGAUUGAAAAUCUCCAAGUUUAAAUAACUUGUUGGUAAAGGAAAGGGCAAGUCUGGUGCCAGCAGCCGCGGUAAUACCAGCUUUCCAAGUGCAUAAAAUGAUUGUUGUGGUUAAAAAGCUCGUAGUUGGAUUAUAAAGAUUGUAUAAUGAGCAUCUUGGAUGUUUUUUCAUUAUCGUCUUAUUUAUUUUAAUAUAUUAGUAAUAAUAUA